rfam:Ictidomys tridecemlineatus contig032424, whole genome shotgun sequence.
GGAGAUGUGGUAGAGGUAGAGACUUGCCUGGCAUGCAGGAGGCCUGGGGUUCAAUCCCCAGCAUUACCA